rnacentral:rRNA from 1 species
UACGAAGGGUGCAAACGUUGCUCGGAAUUAUUGGGGCGUAAAGCGCACGUAGGCGGCUUUGCAAGUCGGAUGUGAAAUCCCUCGGCUUAACCAAGGAAGUGCAUCCGAAACUGCAGAGCUUGAGUACUUAAGAGGAUCGCGGAAUUCCCGGUGUAGAGGUGAAAUUCGUAGAUAUCGGGAGGAACACCGGUGGCGAAGGCGGCGACCUGGGUCGAGACUGACGCUGAGGCGCGAAAGCGUGGGGAGCGAACAGG